CAGGACUGUGUCUCAAACAAACCCAGCCUCGAGGGGUUCUUUCCGAGGGGACAACAGGAGCAGAAAAGCAGACCAACGACGCGGAGGCUGUAACCAGGAAAUAUCUUUAAAAUUUUGCCUCUGGGAUUGUGCUUGGAAAAUGCUACAGAAAUGUCAGAGAUAAAGAAGAAAACCACUAAAGUUUCUCUGACUAUCAGUUCCCCAGUUAAUGAAACGACCAACAUCAGAUCAAGUUAUUCUACCUUAGUUCAACCAUUGUGUAUUGACCCCCAGAGGAUGCAGAGUCCCUGCAGCAGCCUGUCAGGAGCCACUUGUGGUGUAGCUCCUGAGUUUACCAAG